CGCCGCGGCCCGCCGAACUACCGCUCCCGUCGUGCCCCGCGGCGGGGCGGAGCGCAGCGGGCGGCGAGGCACCGCCGUCACCCUCCUUCCCUGCUCAGACCUUCAUCCUCCUCCUCCUCCUCCUCUUCCUCCUCCUCCUCUUCCUCCUCCUCCUCCUCCUCUUCCUCUUCCUCCUCCUCCGACCUUCCUCCUCCUCCUCCUGCAACUGGACCCCCGCUCCUGCCCGAUGCCCCCUGCCUGGUGCCCGGGGCCCCGGCAGGCGGGUGAGAUUGUGGGACCCCAUCCCCCAAGAGAGAGUAGGGAGAUGGCCCCUGACGAAUGACAUCCAGACAGGUGCAGAAACUCCAGGACCAGGUUUCUCUGCGGGAGAUUCCUGUGGCCGAGAUCCCGAAGCCACGCUCCCCUGAGGACAGGUGAUCCGUACCCCCCUGUGCCAAGGUGGACCUGGGCACCGGCUACCCAAAGGUCAAAAUGCCAUCAGUGACGUAACCUCUCUGGCCAGAGGAGGCGGGAUGGGAAGAUAGGUGUCCCUCACCUCCGUGCCCACCCAAUAAGGUAUGGAAGGGAAGGGAGUGGAAGGGGGCAGAGAUUGAACAGGAAGGAAGUGGGGACCACCCAAACCAAAGGUAAUAAAUACCUGUUGCCUCUGGUGCUUGGGUCUCUCUGGAAAGAUCACAGUGGUAGCAACAGCCACCCACAUGUCUUUCCCUGUCCCGAGCACCAGAUGCCAUUCUGCCACCAGGAACAACGCCCAGAGACAGGGGUCGCGGGAUGGGUGAGUGUAACGCAUAACUGGGUUAAAUGCAUAAGUGGGUAAUGUAUGAGUGUAACGCAUAUGUGAGCUUAGUGCAUAAGCGGGCAAUGUAUAAGUGAGUAUAAUGCACAUGUGAGUUUAGUGCGUAAGUGGGGAGCGUACAAGUGAGUGUAACGCGCAAGUGAGUUUAACGCACGAGUGAAAUGCAUAAGUAAGUCUAAGGCCUAAAUGGGUUCGCCGCAUAAAUAGAUUGAACGCUUAAGUGGAUUCCUCCCAAGUGGGUGCGCACAUGGUGAGAGCUAGCCGCCUCACCACGUGCAAGUAGCACAUACACGAACUUAACGCCAGAAGUGGGUUCUAAUGUAUAAGUGGGUUUUAACAUGUAAGUGGGUUUAGUGCCUAAGUGGGUGCGCUCAUGGUGGGAACUAGCCGCCUCCCCACGUUGUGAGUACACCAUUAACAAGCUCUGCCUGGGCGGGCCCUGGUGUCCGCCCACACUUGAGUAACAUACUAGUAUAUUCCUCCCAUCAGGGAAGCUUUAACACCAAAUUCCUCCAAAAGGGAAGGCCGAUUGUCGCGUCUAAAUAAUUGAUUAAUUCAAUCCGCCCCGCGGAAUAAAUUCUAUACAAAACUCAGGUUUUCCAUCCCCAGCCUCUCUCUCUCUCGCCGUGCCGAUUCUGAAAGAACCUGUCCCCGGCGAUGGGUGACACAAAUGGCGACGAGGAUGGGAUCGGCAAUAGGUGACAGAGAGCCGGGAGGGCCGUUUGAAUUCCUUGCAGAUGAGGAAUGGAAAGCCUCAAAUUUGGCCAGUCGGUCACAUGGACGUGAGUCCACAAGAAAGCAGCCGCCUUAGACUUGGGCCUAAGGGUGGACCUGACCCAUACUCAUGGUCAAGGUCGUGCCCUCCAAUGGACUAACCUCACUACAUUAAACCAACGCUAAUCAAGUUUAUCUAGUUUUAAAUUGCAGGCACCAAACUAUUCUUACAUGAGAGAUCAGUGUGUGCUGAAAUCUGUUUCUUAACGCCCUCAAGGAAGAAGUUCCUGAUGAUGACCAGAAAACAUCUCCGUUCUGUUUUAAAGUACCAGAAACAUUGUGUGAAUGUGGGAUUGGGAGCACCCUCGUCUUUGAGUAAGAGUUUGAAUGUGCAUAGUGUUUUGCUUUAAGACAUCUUGUUUAAUAGGGGGAAUUGGCUUUACCCCCGUGUCUGUGUGAAAGUGUGUUUAGGAUGCGUUAUGUUUGAAUCAACUGCCCAGUGUUGGGAAAAAGUGUAUUGUUCAUUGCAAGAGAAAUUCCUAGCUGAAUUUGGGUAUCUCCUUAGAUUGAGAAUCAUUUCAUUAGCCUGGGGUUUUUAAUUCUUCCUCCUCUCAGCUCAGUUAAGGCAUGGGGGUAGGAAACUUGACCAAUUUGCCUCAGGGUCAGAGCUAUCAGUUGGAAGAUCAGAAGGGAAUUUCUUUGAGAAAGGGCACCUCCCUCUAGCAAAGGGUUGCCUCCCUCAAGUAAAUGGUUGCACUCCUCAAUCCAAGGCACCUCCCUCUGGAAACUACAAUGGUGGUAGUUGGGUGUGAAUUUGCCAUUGUUCUCCCAGCCUAGGAAUAACUGUAGGGAUGGUGAUUCAAUCAUUAUUUCUGAAACUCUCCUGCAUUAAAUUUGGCUAAAUUGGCAAAAAGUAAAUAGGCAAAUCAAAUACAAA
rnacentral:lncRNA from 1 species